rnacentral:rRNA from 1 species
GUAGCAAUUAAAGGAGCAAUCCGCUAUGAGAUGGGCCCGCGGCGCAUUAGCUAGUUGGUGAGGUAACGGCUCACCAAGGCGACGAUGCGUAGCCGACCUGAGAGGGUGAUCGGCCACAUUGGGACUGAGACACGGCCCAGACUCCUACGGGAGGCAGCAGUGGGGAAUAUUGCACAAUGGGGGAAACCCUGAUGCAGCAACGCCGCGUGAGUGAUGACGGCCUUCGGGUUGUAAAGCUCUGUCUUCAGGGACGAU